AACGAACGCUGGCGGCGUGGAUUAGGCAUGCAAGUCGAACGAGAACGCACCUUCGGGGUGUUAGUACAGUGGCGAACGGGUGAGUAACGCGUGGGAAACCUGCCUUUGAGUGGGGGAUAACAGUCCUAACGGAUUGCUAAUACCGCAUGACGCUGUUGAUCGCAUGGUCAAUAGUUAAAGAUGGCCUCUACAUAUAAGCUGUCGCUCGAAGAUGGUCCCGCGUCCUAUUAGCUUGUUGGUGGGGUAACGGCCUACCAAGGCAGCGAUGGGUAGCCGGCCUGAGAGGGUGGUCGGCCACACUGGGACUGAGAUACGGCCCAGACUCCUACGGGAGGCAGCAGUCGAGAGGCUUCGGCAAUGGGGAAACCCUGACCGAGCGACGUCGCGUGGGUGAUGAAGAUCCUUGGAUCGUAAAACCCUGUCAGGUGGGAUGAAAUGCGAUUUGGUUAACAGCCAAGUCGUUUGACAGUACCACCAGAGGAAGCUCCGGCCAACUCCGUG
rnacentral:rRNA from 1 species